UACGAAGGGGGCUAGCGUUGUUCGGAAUUACUGGGCGUAAAGGGCGCGUAGGCGGGGAUGUGAGUCGGGCGUGAAAUCCCCAGGCUCAACCUGGGAACUGCACUCGAAACUGCGUUUCUUGAGUAUCGGAGAGGAAAGCGGAAUUCCUGGUGUAGAGGUGAAAUUCGUAGAUAUCUGGAGGAAUACCGGUGGCGAAGGCGGCAUCCUGGACCGGCAUUGACGCUGAGGAGCGAAAGCCAGGGGAGCAAACGGG
rnacentral:rRNA from 1 species